GGCGGCGCCGGGCAGCGCCUCGCCGGCCGCCCGAGUGGUAAACAAGCCCGCAGGUUCCGGUACCUCCGCUCCGGGCUUCUUUUGUGUGCGCGCCGUGAGGGAGGGGCGGGAGGGCCGGCCGGGGGAGGCAGAAGCGCGCGAAAAGAAAAAACAAAGCCUUUUAUAUGGGAGAGACAAGCUUUCAAAAUCGGAAAGUCGGCUUCAGCGCGAGGGCGUGACUUUGCCGUGUCGGUUUCGUGUGAACCGUUUGCGAGCGCACGAGGGGAUGCGGGCAUCCGUGUUACGGUCAGCCGGGCAGUUGGGGUGCAAAUUCCGUGAGGAACAUUAAUAAGACGCUAUCCUCUCAGGUGAGCUGGCGAGGUGCAGCGAGCCACCUGCCUUCUCUUGGCCAGAGCGGGAUGGAAGCGGAGGUCCCUAAGCCCUGCCUACGUGCAGGCCGGCCCUUCCUCACCCGGAUUGCUGAUCCUCACACCACACCAGGAUGACAGGAAUUACCCUCGCCGUUUGACCCGGAGCUCGGAGAGGCUGAGGGCACACGGACAGGAAGUGGCAAAGCUGGGAUUUGAAUCCAAGUCCUUCACAGUUCGCAGGCAAGGCUUGACCCCAAAUUAGCAGUUUAUUACCUCGCCAAUAACUCCUCCAUUAAAUAAAGCUCUUGUAAUAUG